AUAACAUGAUGACUUGCCAUGCUAAUACUGAGAAAUCUAUAGGAUUUAAUCCAUAGGAUUUCGCUGAGUUGAAACCAUUCUCUUGGUACUGAUAUUU
rnacentral:snoRNA from 1 species